rnacentral:sRNA from 1 species
GCCGGAUGGGGUGGCGCACGCCUGUCCUCCCAGCAACUUUGGAGGCUGAGGCAGGAGGAUCACAAGUUGGAGGCCAGCCUCAGCCAAAGCGAGGCCCUAAGCAACUCAGGGAGACCCUGUCUCUA